rnacentral:lncRNA from 1 species
CAGCCCUGUAGGAGACACCUCCAGAGAAAGUAACAGCUCUCAAUUGAUUAGCUGAGAAUAAACAGAUGCUUUUACAGCUCGCAUUGGCGGGAAGUUCUGGCACAAAUGAAGUAUCUAUAAGGAGCAGCAGAGUCAAGGUGGUGAUCCUGUGGAUGAAUAACUGAAACCUGAUAUACUUGACAGCAGAAAAUAUAAAGCAAAUUGAAAAGGAGAGAGUGUGGAGAUAAAUAAGAAAAUGAAAGAACUGAUAAAGUCACUUGGAUUAAAAAACCUGGGAGUAAGGGCUUUGUUUAUGAUUGAACUUAAGAGAGAAUUGAGGGACCACCUACCUUUGAUGUUAACGAGAAAGUAAAGAGGAAACAUAUUUAGAGAUACCCUUUGGUGAAAAACAGAGAUGGAUGUGUCAUUUGAUGCAUCACAUUAUUUAUUCAACAAACUCUUAGUGAGAACUUACUGUGUA